rnacentral:rRNA from 1 species
GGGCGUAAGCGCGCGCAGGCGGCCUUUUAAGUUGGAUGUGAAAGCCUAUGGCUCAACCAUAGAACUGCAUCCAAAACUAUCAGGCUAGAGUGUGGGAGAGGAAGAUGGAAUUAGUUGUGUAGGGGUAAAAUCCGUAGAGAUAACUAGGAAUACCAAAAGCGAAGGCAAUCUUCUGGAACAUUACUGACGCUGAGGCGCGAAAGCGUGGGGAGCAAACAGGAUUAGAUACCCUGGUAGUCCACGCCCUAAACGAUGAAUGUUAGUCGUCGGGUAGCUAGUCUAUUCGGUGAUGCAGCUAACGCAUUAAACAUUCCGCCUGGGGAGUACGGUCGCAAGAUUAAAACUCAAAGGAAUAGACGGGGACCCGCACAAGUGGUGGAGCAUGUGGUUUAAUUCGAAGAUACGCGAAGAACCUUACCUAGCCUUGACAUAUUUUAGAACACUUUAGAGAUAGAGUGGUGCCUUCGGGAGCUAAUAUACAGGUGCUGCACGGCUGUCGUCAGCUCGUGUCGUGAGAUGUUGGGUUAAGUCCCGCAACGAGCGCAACCCUCGUCACUAGUUACUAACGGUUCGGCCGAGGACUCUAGUGAGACUGCCUUCGCAAGGAGGAGGAAGGUGAGGACGACGUCAAGUCAUCAUGGCCCUUACGGCUAGGGCAACACACGUGCUACAAUGGCCAGGACAAUGAGAAGCGAUACCGCGAGGUGGAGCAAAUCUAU